GCAGGCAAUUCAAAACCAAAGUAAGCUGCUGAAUACAGCUACAAUAAACAAGGAAUCAGGCUAAGCUAUUGUCUUCAUCAUAAAAUGAUUUUGGCCCCCAUUUUCUAAUUUCGUACCACAUUUUCACAUUCUUUCCAUGAAUUUUAUAAUUCCUAUGCAACAGAGUUCAUUCAUUGCCUAUUCACAACAUUACAAGGUUCUACAGAGUUCAAUCCCACCGUGUUAUAGACAUGCUUCAACUAUCAACCGGGAACGUAAUCGUUAGGGGUUUCAACAACUUCAGAGAUACAACAAUUACGAUAAGUCUCAUCUCGGACAUUCAUACAGAAAAUUGAAUAAAAUUUGAAAUCAAGAAUCAAUCCCAAAAGUGAAAGUUGAAAAUUCGGGAAAAGAACUUACAUUGGCGAACAGCCCACGAGAAGAGGAUCAUUUCUACCUCUUGGGUCGAGCUCCAAUUCUGGCGAUAUUGGCCGGAAGUUGGCCGGAAAACCCUGGGUCACCGUUUCUUAAAUUUGAGGUUGAGGAAAGUCGCCUACGAAUCUAUAGAAACUAACUUGGGGAUUGGAUGAAGGACGGCAAGAGCAUUCUGGAUGUGUAGUUUGAGAGCCUUUGGUGAGCCGUGGACGACAGAGCUGUUGCGUCGGCACUCGGCAGUCGUCGGCUUGCUGUUUAAUGGGGCUCCUGUUGCAGCGCAAAAGAGGAUACGGGAGGAGGAGAGAAGAUGGGUUUCUCCCACUUUUUAGAUCUUAAUUUUUUUCCCUUUUUUUAAUUUUUUUCCCUUUUUAUAUAUCGUUUACACACUUGUGGAAAAACAUUCCGUCUGGAUUUCAGGGCUUCCAAAAUUUGAGAUAUUUGGCAAUGAGAGGAUGUUGUGGUCUAAAAUAUGUGUUCUCGCAUUUAAUUGCCCGAGAACUUUUGAAUCUUCAAGAGGUAAAGAUAUCAAAAUGUCCGGAUAUGAAAACUAUAGUCAGAAUUACAGAGGAAAAUGAAGAAGAGGCGAUAAAAUACAUGAUUUUGUUUCCGAAACUGAACACAUUUGAACUGGUAGACCUGCCUCGUCUCUCAAGUCUUUGUCCAGAGGGAUUUACAUUUCUAUGGUCAUCCGCAAAAAAUAUGCGCGUGGAAAACUGUGAAAAAUUGAAGACAUUGGGUGCCGUAAUUCCACAAAGAAAGAAGUUGGAGAAUAACAUGAAGAAGGAUUCAACAAGUCAUGAUUUCAGCACUUCCCCAACAAGUUCAUCAAAUUGGUGCCCCGCUGGAUGUGGAUGCGCACCAUAUUCAAGACCAAACGCCCACCGCUCCAUUGAAAUAUUGCCACGUCCAGUUAAUUUGGAGGUAAGCUUUUAAAUUAGGUUCAAUUAACCUUUAUAAGUACAACUUUUAAUUAGUAUUGUACUCAUCUUGUUGAUCGUGUUUAAUUUUCUAGGUUACACCAACUAAUCUUGAGGACUCAAAUGAUGAUGAUAAUCUUGAAAAUCUUACUGUAAGUGACUGUAAUUCAAUGGAAGUGAUUUUCCAACUAAAGGGACCGAAGAAUGAAGAAAGUAAUCACUCCAUUGAAGCAUUCAAUAAAUUGAGGUCCUUCCAGUUACAUAAGUUGCCAAGUUUAACGCGUGUUUGGGAGGUGGGUAGUUCACAACCAAUGUUCACAGGAAGCAGUUUUGGAAACUUGAAAUCGUUGCAGGUCGAUUGUUGCAACCAGUGUUCUAAAAAUCGGCCUAGGCGGCCGCCUAGGCGCUAGGCGGUGGGCAACCGCCGGGAUUAACGUAAAAUCGGAAGAAAAAUCGGGACAAGGAUUAGGCGGGUGUCGAGGUGGCCUGAGCGGCCCUUGGGCGGCCUAGGAGGGCAACUGGGUGGCCUAGGCGGUCUGAGAAUUUCAAUUUUUCUAUGUUCGAACUUGAGAAAGGAUGAAUGCUUCUGGUUUUUCUGGGCUUCUGGUGGUCUGUGUUCGCGAAGGAGGAAGAAGAUGAGAGAAUUAGUUUCUCUCUCUUCUUUCCAUACCCACGCACGUGAUGUAUUAAACUUUUUUUUUUAUUUUUUAUUUUUUAUUUUUUGUCCAUUAAAAUGUGGACAGCUAGCCUUGACUUUUCUUAAAGAAUAAAGGUUGUCAGGCUAUUAAUUUUUGUGUCAUCCAUCAAGUGCUAUGGAUUUUUUUUGUAGAUAGCGAUGGAGCACUCAUCUCUUCCUGGACAAAGGGCAGACUAGCUGCCAUCUAUAAAAAAAUUAAUAGCCUGACAAAAAAUUAAUUUUUUUCUCAUUAAAAAAACAUUGAUUGUCAGGUUAUCAAUUCAUAGCAUCAAGUGAUAUGGAUUUUUUGGACUUGUUAGAUAAGCAUUUUAUUAUUCUUUUACUAUCUUAUUCAGAGAUUUCAUAUAAGUAUAAUUUUUUGUAAGUAUCAGUAUACAUUUAUUUACAAGAUAUAUAAGAAAUUUACCUAAAUCCGCCUAGACCGCCUAGGCGCCCGCCUAGACCCCGCCUAACCGCCUAGGCGCUAGGCGCCAGUUCACCGCCCGACUAGCGCCUAGCGUUUUUUAGAACCUUGGUUGCAACCAGUUGAAAUACUUGUUUCUGUCCUCCAUAGUCAAACUUCUCGUGAGUAUAGAGGACAUAGAAGUUAAGAAGUGUGAGCAGAUGGAAGAAAUCGUUGCCGCAGAAGAAGAAACUGAUGAAACAAUUACAUUACCUAAAGUGAAGUCCAUCAAGCUUGCAAGUCUGCCAAAACUCAAGUAUUUUUGUGGUGAAGCUUAUACUUUGAAGUUGCCAUCUUUGGAGUUAUUGAGCGUUAUUAGUGUGCAAGACGUAGGGCCAUUUGAUCCUAAGCAUGUUGACACGCAUAAUCCCCGAUUGCAAGUAAAAACCGCAUUUCGACAGGAAUGGACGGGGACCUCAAUGCCACUCUAAGGAACAUUUAUGACACAAGGUAUGCUUUAAAUUAAUGUUUCUAAUUUGCAGUCACUUUUGUGUCCACCUGGAAGACCGCAUCAUCAAUAUACAACCACUGAACCAACAAAUAUUUUCUCCUAAACAAUUACAAUUACGUCAAUAUAAACUUUUAGAGACUACAGUAAUGCUUCAUGCUGUUUGUUCCAACUCUUUCGAUCCUUGAUGCAUGCGUGGGAUUUCUAAUGUUUUUACGAAGGACUGAAGAAUAGCUAGGUUGAUAAUUUGCAGUAUGUGAGCUAUAUAUGCUCAAUCUUACAUUUCUAUUUAUUCAACCAACAAAUACGUUCUGGUUUCGAGCUACAAGCAUAAUAUGGCUAACACCACCACAAUUUUGACUACAAAUUUAGGGAAAUCAAUAUCAACCGUUCAUAUUUAUAUGUGCAUAUGUUCACACUAAAGUGUAUUUAAGUAAUUUUAUUUUUUAAAACUCAAUUCUAUCUCAAGAAAACAUCUGUCUUUUAUUUCUAAAACAGGAAGGAUAACGAUGACGAAUUGUACAGUGAGGAUGAAAAUGAAGAUGACGAAUUCUCUGGGGAGGAUGAAGAUGACUAACAGAAUUGAUUGAUCAAACACAAAGGUUAGCAUGUUUCCAUCUCCAACUUCUUCUAGGUUUAGUAAAAACUGAUGAAAUUAUCUAUAAAGUACUCGAAAAAUUAUUCUUCCAUGUUUUAUAGUAUAUACAUAAAUGGAUAGUACUUUAAAAAUUGAACAAUAAGGAUUGUCGAACCACAUUCUGCUACCUAAUUCAUUUUUUCGAGGUACCCAAUGCAAGUCGAUCUAUAAUAUGCACUCUAAAAGUACUAACCUUGAGAAGCCAUUGAUAUGAACAAGAUUGAACCAUGAUCAGCAACGAACAAGCAAAGAUCUUCCUCUCUCUCUACACCCCUUAUGCACUCCUAUAUGGGGUGGUGUUUUGUGCUAGAAUAAUGUGUAUAAAAGUGGGAUCUAAGCCUUAUAUUUAUAGGUGAGAGUAUUAGGUUUCUUGCCCAUGAAGAAACCCCUAAUACAGAUCUUUAGCACCUCUAAAAUCCAUGACCUAAUAGGAUAGAUAUUCCCAAAAAUUAUUGCUAUACUUCACCAUAAAUAAUCCGGACUAAUCAGAUAUUACUUCCUUUCUUUUAUCCUUAAUUAAUUAGGACUCCUAAAUAGAUGUAAGCCCAAUAAAAGUCUUACACCCAAUAGCAGUUAAGAUGGAAGAAGCUUUUGAGAUUAGCAUCUGCCUCAAGAAACCUUUAUCAGAUUCCACAAUAAUAUUGGAAUAACCUUUUUCUCUUAGCAUGUCUCACCUGAUCUACAACAAGUAUAACCAUUUUGAGAAACACAUAUACAAUAAACAUAACCGUAGUGCUAAGUGACUUGAAAAUUAAUUUAGUCCUUAAACCGCUAUUUUCUGAAACACAAAUACAAUAAGCAUUACCAUUUCAACUUAUUCCAAUUUCAGUGUUUUCUAAUAUUCUCCAAUGCAUGCAGGACAAGCGUUUACAGAACGUUGUGGCUUCAGCAAUUCGUUUACUAUAUCAUAUGUACAAGUCAAUAAAAGGUCAUUUGUUGCACCAGAAUUUCAUUCCAAAAAUACUAUUUAUGUUGCUUAUUUGAUGUAUUAUAAAUUUCGAUUGUGAUUAUUACUGUUUGUUUCUAAAUUAGUGUUUGCUUAUUUGUUAUGGUAAUUUGGAAAAGUUGUCUCUAGCUACCAAUAUUUGCAUUUCAAUUUAUAAUGCUAAAAGUUCUGUAAUACCAUAGACGUGUAAGAUGAAUGACAUGUGUAAGCUAAAUAAUAUUAUGAUACACUAUAACAAUAUGAUCAUUCACUAUAAGGUCUGAUAUUAAUUCAUAAAAUCUGGUUUUCCCCUAAACGUAACGGAAAUCAUAUUUAUCUAGGCAUGCUUAAUAUUUGAUAAAGAAAAAAACAUUUCUUAAAUAAAUGUCCACUCACACCUCCGGCUAGCUCUCCCUUGAGGAGCCUUGUCUACCAAAUAGGUAAGUUCAAGCAACUUCAAGAGAGAAUUUCCUCCACGUUAAGUCUUAAACAUCCACUGGACAGCAGGCAAUUCAAAACCAAAGUAAGCUGCUGAAUACAACUACAAUAAACAAGGAAUUAGGCUAAGUUAUUGUCUUCAUCAUGACAUGAUUUGGCCCCCAUUUUCUAAUUCCGUACCACAUUUUCACAUUAUUUCCAUAAAAUAAUUUUAUAAUUCCUAUGCAAAAGAGUUCAUUCAUUGCCUAUUUCACAACAAUACAAGGUUCUACAGAGUUCAAUCCCACACCAUGUUAUAGAAAUGCUUCAACUAUCAACCAGGACGGUAAUCGUUAGGGGCUUCAACAACUUCACAGAUACAACAAUUACGAUAAGUCUCAUCUCCGACAUUCAUACAGAAAAUCGAAUAAAAUUCGAAAUCAAGAAUCAAUCCCAAAACUGAAAGUUGAAAAUUUGGAAAAAGAACUUACAUUG
rnacentral:lncRNA from 1 species